UAAUACGGAGGAUCCGAGCGUUAUCCGGAUUUAUUGGGUUUAAAGGGAGCGUAGGCGGAUUGUUAAGUCAGUUGUGAAAGUUUGCGGCUCAACCGUAAAAUUGCAGUUGAUACUGGCAGUCUUGAGUGCAGUAGAGGUGGGCGGAAUUCGUGGUGUAGCGGUGAAAUGCUUAGAUAUCACGAAGAACUCCGAUUGCGAAGGCAGCUCACUAGACUGCAACUGACACUGAUGCUCGAAAGUGUGGGUAUCAAACAGGAUUAGAUACCCUGGUAGUCCACACAGUAAACGAUGAAUACUCGCUGUUUGCGAUAUACAGUAAGCGGCCAAGCGAAAGCAUUAAGUAUUCCACCUGGGGAGUACGCCGGCAACGGUGAAACUCAAAGGAAUUGACGGGGGCCCGCACAAGCGGAGGAACAUGUGGUUUAAUUCGAUGAUACGCGAGGAACCUUACCCGGGCUUAAAUUGCAACAGAAUAUAUUGGAAACAGUAUAGCCGUAAGGCUGUUGUGAAGGUGCUGCAUGGUUGUCGUCAGCUCGUGCCGUGAGGUGUCGGCUUAAGUGCCAUAACGAGCGCAACCCUUAUCUUCAGUUACUAACAGGUCAUGCUGAGGACUCUGGAGAGACUGCCGUCGUAAGAUGUGAGGAAGGUGGGGAUGACGUCAAAUCAGCACGGCCCUUACGUCCGGGGCUACACACGUGUUACAAUGGGGGGUACAGAAGGCCGCUACCUGGUGACAGGAUGCCAAUCCCAAAAACCUCUCUCAGUUCGGAUCGAAGUCUGCAACCCGACUUCGUGAAGCUGGAUUCGCUAGUAAUCGCGCAUCAGCCAUGGCGCGGUGAAUACGUUCCCGGGCCUUGUACACACCGCCCGUCAAGCCAUGAAAGCCGGGGGUACCUGAAGUACGUAACCGCAAGGAGCGUCCUAGGGUAAAACUGGUAAUUGGGGCUAAGUCGUAACAAGGUAGCCGUACCGGAAGGUGCGGCUG
rnacentral:rRNA from 1 species